GAUGAACGCUGGCGGCGUGCCUAAUACAUGCAAGUCGAGCGAACAGACGAGGAGCUUACUCCUCUGACGUUAGCGGCGGACGGGUGAGUAACACGUGGAUAACCUACCUAUAAGACUGGGAUAACUUCGGGAAACCGGAGCUAAUACCGGAUAACAUGUUGAACCGCAUGGUUCAACAGUGAAAGCAGGUCUUGCUGUCACUUAUAGAUGGAUCCGCGUUGCAUUAGCUAGUUGGUAAGGAAACGGCUUACCAAGGCAACGAUGCGUAGCCGACCUGAGAGGGUGAUCGGCCACACUGGAACUGAGACACGGUCCAGACUCCUACGGGAGGCAGCAGUAGGGAAUCUUCCGCAAUGGGCGAAAGCCUGACGGAGCAACGCCGCGUGAGUGAAGAAGGUCUUCGGAUCGUAAAACUCUGUUAUUAGGGAAGAACAAAUGUGUAAGUAACUAUGCACGUCUUGACGGUACCUAAUCAGAAAGCCACGGCUAACUACGUG
rnacentral:rRNA from 1 species